GCUCGUAGUUGGAUUUCGGGAUGGGCCAGUCGGUCUGCCGCAAGGUAUGUUACUGGCUGGUCUGUCCUUCUUCGCAAAGACUGCGUGUGCUCUUAAUUGAGUGUGCGUAGGAUUUGCGACGUUUACUUUGAAAAAAUUAGAGUGUUCAAAGCAGGCUGUCCGCUUGAAUACAUGAGCAUGGAAUAAUGGAAUAGGACUUUGGUUCUAUUUUGUUGGUUUCUGGAACCGAAGUAAUGAUUAAGAGGGACAGUUGGGGGCAUUCGUAUUUCGUUGUCAGAGGUGAAAUUCUUGGAUUUACGAAAGACGAACAACUGCGAAAGCAUUUGCCAAGAAUGUUUUCAUUAAUCAAGAACGAAAGUUAGAGGCUCGAAGACGAUCAGAUACCGUCCUAGUUCUAACCAUAAACGAUGCCGACUAGGGAUCAGCGGGCGUUAUUUUAUGACCCCGUUGGCACCUUAUGGGAAACCAAAGUUUUUGGGUUCCGGGGGAAGUAUGGUUGCAAAGCUGAAACUUAAAGGAAUUGACGGAAGGGCCACCAGGAGUGGAGCCUGCG
rnacentral:rRNA from 1 species